UGUUUAUGACAAAGGGUGUUGGAAAUCAUUUUAAUGUCCCAAUCAUGCUACCAUUGGCCCUUCAAAGCACUCAGCCCACUCAUGCCAGUAUCCUAGACCCCAAAGGAAGGAAAAAGCAGGCAUUCCCACUCACUGCUCAAAGCUCUCAGCUCGGAAGAAGAGGGAAACGGGAAGAUAACACCGAUAAAAACACCAACUCCACCCGAAUGACUCAGAUGAAGCCAGGAGAGAGUGGGAGUGUUCUAGAGGCGGCAAUGUCGGAGCUCGG